rnacentral:rRNA from 1 species
AUUGAACGCUGGCGGCAUGCCUUACACAUGCAAGUCGAACGGUAACAGGUCUUCGGAUGCUGACGAGUGGCGAACGGGUGAGUAAUACAUCGGAACGUGCCUAGUAGUGGGGGAUAACUACUCGAAAGAGUGGCUAAUACCGCAUGAGAUCUACGGAUGAAAGCCGGGGAUCGCAAGACCUUGUGCUACUAGAGCGGCCGAUGGCAGAUUAGGUAGUUGGUGGGAUAAAAGCUUACCAAGCCGACGAUCUGUAGCUGGUCUGAGAGGACGAUCAGCCACAGUGGCACUGGGACGCGGCCCAGACUCCUACGGGAGGCAGCAGUGCGGAAUUGUGUACAAUGGGCGCAGGCCUGAGUCAGCAAUGCCGCGUGCAGGAUGAAGGCCUUCGGGUUGUAAACUGCUUUUGUACGGAAGGAAAAGCACUGGGUUAAUCGCCUGGGGUGCUGACGGUACCCAAAGAAGAAGCACCGGCUAACUUCGUGCCAGCCGCCGCCGUAA